GCUCCCCCGAUGCUACACCAGACUUCUACUUCAUGCCGUCCCAGCGGAAACACGAAGAAUUCUGAUGGCGUUCGCGGAUUACUAACAUAAGUUACCAUUAAGCAACGUAGUUUCUUUCGAUCGCACAUUUUCCAUACCAGUUCUAGUCUCUCGUCACAGUUUUAAAUUAAGUUACGCCCCGAAACUACAUUCGUCCGACUGCUCAGAUGGCAAAUGCUAUAAUUCGAAUGUAGUUUCCAUUAUUAUGUAAAUAAUGCUGUUUAUUAAAGCAAUAUUACGCGUUUCAUUUAUUUUAUUAACCUAUAUAAAAUAAGUCUUCCAAAAUCAUAGAUGGCGUUGUUGAUAGAUUUUGAUUUUUGAAAGCAGCGCCAUCUGUCGGUGCUGCGCGGCGCUUUAUAAGUGGAGGCGGAAUGCUCAUGUUAAGGAAUUUAUAUGUAUGUAGUUUUAGUUAUAAUUGUUGAUUUGUAUAAAUCGGAGUUUAUUUGAUAAUUAAUGGAAUUGGUUGCCAGUAUGUUCUAAAAUGUUUUUAUAUUAUUGUAUAAAAUUUAGCUCUUAUCAGCUUUAAAAUAAGAAUGUAUAAGAAUUAACAAAUCUGUACAAGGAAUGACAACUUAAAUAGAGUAAUUUUAUAUAUGAAAAUCUAAGGUAAUUAUUUUUAAUUUGUGUAAGCAUUACAAACUUCUAUUAUUUUUGUAUAUAUUGUAAUGUUAUAUGUAUACAUAACACAUUUCAUUGACUUUACCCUAGAUACAUAAGAGAGUAAUAAUUUAUAUGACGUAACUCCAUAGUUUUAACAGAGUAUUAAUAAUACAGUACCAAACCUAAGAUUAAUGAUGAAUAAAUAUUAUUUUGAUAGAGAA